rnacentral:rRNA from 1 species
UAAUACGUAGGGGGCAAGCGUUAUCCGGAAUCAUUGGGCGUAAAGGGUGCGUAGGCGGCCCUAUAGGUCAGAGGUCAAAGGCUACGGCUCAACCGUAGUAAGCCUUUGAAACUGUAGGGCUUGAGUGCAGGAGAGGAGAGUGGAAUUCCUAGUGUAGCGGUGAAAUGCGUAGAUAUUAGGAGGAACACCAGUGGCGAAGGCGACUCUCUGGACUGCAACUGACGCUGAGGCACGAAAGCGUGGGGAGCGAACAGG